GAUGAACGCUGGCGGCGUGCCUAAUACAUGCAAGUCGAGCGAACAGACGAGGAGCUUGCUCCUCUGACGUUAGCGGCGGACGGGUGAGUAACACGUGGAUAACCUACCUAUAAGACUGGGAUAACUUCGGGAAACCGGAGCUAAUACCGGAUAAUAUAUUGAACCGCAUGGUUCAAUAGUGAAAGACGGUUUUGCUGUCACUUAUAGAUGGAUCCGCGCCGCAUAAGCUAGUUGGUAAGGUAACGGCUUACCAAGGCAACGAUGCGUAGCCGACCUGAGAGGGUGGACGGCCACACUGGAACUAAGACACGGUCCAGACUACGACGGGAGGCAGCAGUAGGUGAUCUUGCGCAAUGGGCGAAUGCCUGACGGAGCAACGCCACGUGAGUUAUAAAGGUCUUCGGAUCGUAAAACUCUGUUAUUAGGGAAGAACAAAUUUGUAAGUAACUAUGCAUGUCUUGACGGUACCUAAUCAGAAAGCCACGGCUAACUACGUG
rnacentral:rRNA from 1 species